rnacentral:misc_RNA from 1 species
AAAUAGAUGAAACAUGGCCGAUAUUAGUACAAAGCAGAAACUAUAUUCACUCAUAGAAGAUGUUGAGCUCAUAUCCAAAGAACUUUUUGAGGUGGCUGCUACACCUAAGAGUCAACAGAAGCCAGAUGCUAUGGAUUCCAUUACAUUGGUUGAAUUGGUGACAAUGAAAGACAAAGAAAUCAAAGAAACCUUAAAGUUAGCUGCUGAGCAAGCAGAAAUACAGAAGACAAUUGAUGAAUUACGGACAGAAGUCGACAAAAGGGACGCAGAAAUUAAACAUUUACAGAAGAAUCUCAAGGAAGCAGAAACAAUACUGUCUACCGCAAUUUAUCAAGCCAAACAAAAACUGACAGCUAUCAAUCAAGCCAACAACAGAAAGAUCUCCUCAGAAGAACUCAUUAAGUUUGCACACAGAAUCAGCGCCAGUAACGCUGUGGCCUCACCCCCUACCUGGAUGCCAGGUAUUCCAUCAUGCAUCUCUUUUCUGUAUCCCUUUUCUUAUUUAUUUACGGGUUGACAAUUAAUACUAUUACUAGCUUUCUGUGAAGAGAGUUAUCACUUUUUAAUACCACUUACAACAGAACAUUCUGCUUACUGUGAACCUUGGAAUAGCAGAACCAAAAGAUCAAUGCUUUAUCACUUUUCAACAGAAAAAUAUGUCUAUGUGUCUAUGUAGAGGAAAAAUAAUUGUUUUCUAUAUUUUUUUUGUCUUCAAAUUCAUAUUGCAACAGUUAGCAUACAUAUUUGAUAUCGGUACACUCAUCGAUAAUAUUUCUUUGAAUGACUUUUAUCUAAAGUACAUAAUAGUGUAUGUGUACUACAACUUUUUGACAUUCACAUUUGGAUGUGUUGCUUGUACGUGAUCCUUUCAUAGUUUUAAUGAGAUACCUGUUUGUCAUUUUGCAGGUGAUCCACGGAGACCGUACCCAACAGAUUUUGAGAUGAGGCUGGGAUUCCUGGGUAAAGUCGGGGAUCUUCCUUUGAACACCCCAGUAUUACAAUCACAGGGUUCAUAUGGGGAGCCCAUGUCUAGUAACAGAAACACCGCUCAGACAGAAGGCACCCCAACUUCUUCAUCAGCGGGUUGGCACUCAGAAUUAGGUCUCGGGGCUAGUGGUGGAAAUAGUCAGAUCCUGGCAGACUUCAAGGGACCCAAAACAGAAAGUGAGGAUGUGGGAUUCAUGUCAAGUGACUCUUCUAGCAGCAGUUUAUCUAGUGAUGAAUGAUAAUAAAAUGUUCUACAUGU